GUAGGUGGCAAGCGUUGUCCGGAAUUAUUGGGCGUAAAGCGCGCGCAGGCGGUUCUUCAAGUCUGAUGUGAAAGCCCACGGCUCAACCGUGGAGGGUCAUUGGAAACUGGAGAACUUGAGUACAGAAGAGGAAAGCGGAAUUCCACGUGUAGCGGUGAAAUGCGUAGAGAUGUGGAGGAACACCAGUGGCGAAGGCGGCUUUCUGGUCUGUAACUGACGCUGAGGCGCGAAAGCGUGGGGAGCAAACAGGAUUAGAUACCCUGGUAGUCCACGCCGUAAACGAUGAGUGCUAAGUGUUAGGGGGGUUUCCGCCCCCCUUAGUGCUGCAGCUAACGCAUUAAGCACUCCGCCCUGGGAGUACGGCCGCAAGGCUG
rnacentral:rRNA from 1 species